rnacentral:tRNA from 1 species
ACUCUAAUAGUUUACAAAAAACAUUGGUCUUGUAAACCAAAAGACGAAGGUUUACUACUUCUUAGAGUU